CAAGUAUAAAAUGUACAAAAUAUUCAAUGUCAAGAACUCGUAUAAACAAUUAAGAAUGGAAAUCACUAUACUACACUACAACACAAAGUAGAAGUUUUCAAAUAAAAUUGUAAAACCAGUCAAUUGGACUGCUUCCACUGUUAAAGUACAAUACAAUGUAACAGGUAUAUACUAAAAAGUAGAACUGCUCUGUUAAAACGAGAAUAUCCUGUACUGUGAGAAUGAAGGGUGACGCAAAGCGUUGAAACGCGACCAGACGCAAAAUAGUACACUUUUGGGACAUCCACGUUUCUGUCGUUAACAACGUCGUGGCAGUUUUCGCCGGGUCGGCAACGUCUUCGUCGGACGCGACGUCACGUGUAGGGUGGCUAACAACUUGAGGGGAUAAUUAGCGCCGGAGAUAGUUAAUCAGUCAAGAGAGAGAGGGAGAGAGAGAGAGAACAGCAUCCCCCGCGCGUCGCUAACGGCGAACGCGACCUGUCGUCUCCUUAUUAAAGCCAAACAGAAGUGUCUGGCGUUGUGACGUCAUUAUUAAUUCAAGAACGCCCGCCGCUAACGACCGCAGUAAUUACUCGCCGAUGCGGGAAUUCUGUUCGUCGGUCCGACACAAGAAGAAUGAACGCCGAGAUACGUUCGAUGCUUCUUGCUAUGUGCGUCAGUUGUUGCAUCUUUGCCCUUUUUUCUUUUCUCGUGCUGAUAGAUUUAUGAUCAUGAAGCCUUGAUUAUUCUGAAAUCAGCCGGAUACACGGCUUAGCCAGAAGAAUGUACAGUCUGUAAGAAUCUUCCUUUACCAGAUCUUUGAACCAAGUUAGCCAACGAAGUGGAUAGUUUGGUUAAUCUGAAGAAUUUCUCAUAUCCUGGCUACUCUCGUAAUGGCUUAUCUGUCAUCCUUCCAAUCGGUCGAGCAGAAUCUCGUGCAGCCGCCAUACGGACAUCGUACGAAGGCAAGGAACUGAGAAACCGUAUGAAAGAUACGAAUAUCAAUUGGCGAUAGAAAAUCCCACCGCGAGCAACAACAACGUUUGAGAAAUAUGGCCAGCAGCCAAGCCCAAGUCCUUGAUCCUAGGUACUUAUCACCCCCUUGCUGGAGCAACCGUUGGCCGCCUGUAGUACGCCGAGUGUGUACACAAUUUUGAACAACUUUCUUCCUUUUGCCGGGAUAGCUGGCAGCGAUAAAUUUGCCGCGGAGCUUUUAAAAGAAAAGAAGGAAAGAAGGACACGUGGAGCGUAUAGAUGCUAGCGCGUGCUAGCGAGAGCAAAGAAUAAGUAAGAGGAAGAAGAAAGAGAAAAGGAAAUAUAUAGAAUAGCGUGGAGUAGCGUGAAACACGCGACGAUGGGUAACGUUGCAGGUUAGGGCAGGUUAGGAUGAACGUUAGGUAGGCACAAGAUCGGCUCCCAGGUUUCACGUCCGACUUGUCAGUUACGUCACGUCACGUCACGGUGCGUCACGGCGCCCGGCACGUACAGAUACAAUGCGGUUGCCGAACCCAUAAAUCGCUCAAACGCCGCUCCUGCAAUGGACGCCGGUUACGUGGACGAAAUGCAAAACCAAUUGCACCCGAAUUCUACCGCCUGCAGUACCUCUCGACCACCCUCCGCGUCGUACCUGCAUGAUUUCUCUUGACAGCAUUCUCGUGUCAUGCCGGCAAAAUUCUGCCGGAACUUAUUAUAAUGAGACGUUUUCUCAGCGUUUUCGAGGUACAUGAUAUUCUUCGGAGAAAAGAGUCUACGUUAAAGCAAUUCUUAUUAUUCCUCAAAGAAAGGAGUCUACGUUAAAACAACUCUUAUCAACAUACAUGAUAUUGUUCAAAGAAAAGAGUCUACGUUAAAGUAAUUCUUAUUAAGGUAGAUGAUGUUGUUCAAAGAAGAGUCUACGUUAAAGCAAUUCUUAUUAAGGUAGAUGAUAUUCUUCAAAGAAGAAUCUACGUUAAAGCAAUUCCUAUUAAAGUAGAUGAUAUUCUUCAAAGAAGAAUCUACGUUAAAACAAUCUUAUUAAGGUACGUGAUGUUCCUCAAAGAAAAGGAUCUACAUUAAAGCAAUUCUUAUUAAGGUAGAUGACAUUCUUCAAAGAAGAAUCUACGUUAAAGCAAUUCUUAUUAAGGUACACGAUAUUCCUCAAAGACAAGAGUCUACAUUAAAGCAAUUCUUAUUAAGGUAGAUGAUAUUGUUUAAAGAAGAGUCUACGUUAAAGCAAUUCUUAUUAAGGUACACGAUAUUCCUCAAAGAAAAGAAUCUACAUUAAAGCAAUGCUUAUUAAGGUGCACGAUAUUCCUCAAAGACAAGAGUCUACAUUAAAGCAAUUCUUAUUAAGGUAGAUGAUAUUGUUUAAAGAAGAGUCUACGUUAAAGCAAUUCUUAUUAAGGUACACGAUAUUCCUCAAAGACAAGAGUCUACAUUAAAGCAAUUCUUAUUAAGGUAGAUGAUAUUCUUCAAAGAAAAGAGUCUAUGUUAAAACAACUCUUAUCAACAUACAUGAUAUUGUUCAAAGAAAAGAGUCUACAUUAAAGCAAUUCUUAUCAACAUACAUGAUAUUGUUCAAAGAAAAGAAUCUACAUUAAAGCAAUUCUUAUUAAGGUACACGAUAUUCCUCAAAGACAAGAAUCUACAUUAAAGCAAUUCUUAUUAAGGUACACGAUAUUCCUCAAAGACAAGAGUCUACAUUAAAGCAAUUCUUAUUAAGGUACACGAUAUUCCUCAAAGAAAAGAGUCUACGUUAAAACAAUAAGAAUCAUGUACCUUGCAUAUUCUGAAAUCGUCUAAAUUCUUACAAAAUUAAGGAAAUUCCGACAGAACAGAAAUUGAUAUUAUUAUAGAUACUUUGCGUGUAAUUAUAAAGAGACAUAAUUAUAUGUAUGUUAAAAUAAUAAUGAAAGUGUCGUCAUUAUUAUUUUAUCUAUUGUUCGAUCAAAAAUUGUUCUUUCCUAGUGUCAGUAAUUUAUUUUCAUUCAGAUAUUAAUAAAUUAAUUAUUUUGU